rnacentral:misc_RNA from 1 species
AAGACUAUAGACCUGCGGAGUACCUGCGGAAGGAUCAUUAAAGUAUUGAAUUUUGAAUGUUCUUUGGAAGAUUCAAACAAUCUGACUUUGUGGUAAUAUUGAAAAACUGUAUUGGAUUUAAAGAUGGUAUCACGUGAGUGGUAUCGAUCCAAGCUUUUUUUAUCAACUCUCUCUUUUUAUUGGACUGAAUUUUUUAUCAAGUUAAACCUUAUUGGUUUAAAUAAAGUUUUAAAUAACUUU